AUUGAACGCUGGCGGCAGGCCUAACACAUGCAAGUCGAGCGGUAGCACAGAGAGCUUGCUCUCGGGUGACGGGCGGCGGACGGGUGAGUAAUGUCUGGGAAACUGCCUGAUGGAGGGGGAUAACUACUGGAAACGGUAGCUAAUACCGCAUAACGUCGCAAGACCAAAGUGGGGGACCUUCGGGCCUCAUGCCAUCAGAUGUGCCCAGAUGGGAUUAGCUAGUAGGUGGGGUAACGGCUCACCUAGGCGACGAUCCCUAGCUGGUCUGAGAGGAUGACCAGCCACACUGGAACUGAGACACGGUCCAGACUCCUACGGGAGGCAGCAGUGGGGAAUAUUGCACAAUGGGCGCAAGCCUGAUGCAGCCAUGCCGCGUGUGUGAAGAAGGCCUUCGGGUUGUAAAGCACUUUCAGCGGGGAGGAAGGCGGUGAGGUUAAUAACCUCAUCGAUUGACGUUACCCGCAGAAGAAGCACCGGCUAACUACGUGCCAGCCGCCGCGGUAA
rnacentral:rRNA from 1 species